rnacentral:rRNA from 1 species
AUUGAACGCUGGCGGCAGGCCUAACACAUGCAAGUCGAGCGGAUGAAGGGAGCUUGCUCCUGGAUUCAGCGGCGGACGGGUGAGUAAUGCCUAGGAAUCUGCCUGGUAGUGGGGGAUAACGUCCGGAAACGGGCGCUAAUACCGCAUACGUCCUGAGGGAGAAAGUGGGGGAUCUUCGGACCUCACGCUAUCAGAUGAGCCUAGGUCGGAUUAGCUAGUUGGUGGGGUAAAGGCCUACCAAGGCGACGAUCCGUAACUGGUCUGAGAGGAUGAUCAGUCACACUGGAACUGAGACACGGUCCAGACUCCUACGGGAGGCAGCAGUGGGGAAUAUUGGACAAAGGGCGAAAGCCUGAUCCAGCCAUGCCGCGUGUUUGAAGAAGGUCUUCGGAUUGUAAAGCACUUUAAGUUGGGAGGAAGGGCAGUAAGUUAAUACCUUGCUGUUUUGACGUUACCAACAGAAUAAGCACCGGCUAACUUCGUG